GUCCCCGUAGCUCAAUGGAUAGAGCUCAUGCCUUCUAAGCAUGAGAUCCAGGUUCGAUUCCUGGCGGGGAUA
rnacentral:tRNA from 1 species